AUAAUCUUAUCUUGAAAUAUUUGUAAUUGAUUAAGGAUUUUUGUUCUCGAUUUAACGUUUCUUUGAAGAUUUAUUUAAGAUUUCAGAGGUUUGUAAGAGUGUGUGAUGUUGUGAUUGGUUCCGAAAAUUCUAGUGAAAAAGAAGGAGGUUCUUAUCUCUAAAUUGAUCUUGGUAGUACUAUGUGGAAGCCCACAAACAGGGUAGGAGUUCUUCUCAAUUUUUGGACAAACCAAC
rnacentral:lncRNA from 1 species